AUUAUAACCAAUCUAUCCGGUGUUUUAGGCCCAUUGAUUUUGGUGCUGAUCGGACCAUGUCUUCAACGGAACUCCGGGAUAUUGUAGAAUUGAAGGCAGUCGUGCCUAGUUUGGUAUGAUAUAUAUAUAUAUAU
rnacentral:sRNA from 1 species